rnacentral:rRNA from 1 species
UACAGAGGUCUCAAGCGUUGUUCGGAUUCAUUGGGCGUAAAGGGUGCGUAGGCGGUGUCGUAAGUCGGAUGUGAAAUCCCGGGGCUUAACUUCGGAACUGCAUUCGAUACUGCGAUACUCGAGGACUCGAGAGGAGAUUGGAAUUCACGGUGUAGCAGUGAAAUGCGUAGAUAUCGUGAGGAAGACCAGUGGCGAAGGCGGAUCUCUGGACAGUUCCUGACGCUGAGGCACGAAGGCCAGGGGAGCAAACGGG